UCCUUGCAGAUCUGGUGGUUUAGCUCGGAAUAUGGCCCCAUUCCUCGCUUUCCAAAUGAACCAGAGCACUUCAGAUACUAGUUCGGGGGUGGGUGUACGGGGGAGUUCACUCUUAUAGCCUAAAAACCAUCGAUCCAUACUAUUGUCCAGGGGCAGAGGAGGAACAAAUGUUCUGCUAUUUCUGGGCUUGUUUUACACAAUGGGCAUAUCGAAUCAGGUACGACUCUCCGUCUGAACAAGUUUUCCUUUGUGGGCAGGGCAUGUUGGCAAAGAUUCCCAAUGAAAACUUUGAUUUUGGGAGGGGCCUUUAAGUUCUAGACUUUGCACCAUAGAGCUUUUGGCUUUUGGUGCGAUGAUGAUGCAUGUAACUGAGUGAAGUUGCUGCCUUCUUUCCUAAGUUGGUUAUACCCACUUUUGACAGAAUAAUUGCCUGACUUUGCUGUCGUCCAUACCAUUCUGUCUUUCUUUGCUAUUGAUGGGAGGGGAAUAGCCAAUAUUUCAUUGACAAUUCUUUCUUCAAACAAGUUUUGAAGGCUUUCUUCCUUCCAUGA